CAUGCUAGUCGAGCGGACGACGGGAGCUUGCUCCCUUAGGUCAGCGGCGGACGGGUGAGUAACACGUGGGUAACCUGCCUGUAAGACUGGGAUAACUCCGGGAAACCGGGGCUAAUACCGGAUGCUUGAUUGAACCGCAUGGUUCAAUCAUAAAAGGUGGCUUUUAGCUACCACUURCAGAUGGACCCGCGGCGCAAUAGCUAGUUGGUGAGGUAACGGCUCACCAAGGCGACGAUGCGUAGCCGACCUGAGAGGGUGAUCGGCCACACUGGGACUGAGACACGGCCCAGACUCCUACGGGAGGCAGCAGUAGGGAAUCUUCCGCAAUGGACGAAAGUCUGACGGAGCAACGCCGCGUGAGUGAUGAAGGUUUUCGGAUCGUAAAACUCUGUUGUUAGGGAAGAACAAGUACCGUUCGAAUAGGGCGGCACCUUGACGGUACCUAACCAGAAAGCCACGGCUAACUACGUGCCAGCAGCCGCGGUAAUACGUAGGUGGCAAGCGUUGUCCGGAAUUAUUGGGCGUAAAGCGCGCGCAGGCGGUUUCUUAAGUCUGAUGUGAAAGCCCCCGGCUCAACCGGGGAGGGUCAUUGGAAACUGGGGAACUUGAGUGCAGAAGAGGAGAGUGGAAUUCCACGUGUAGCGGUGAAAUGCGUAGAGAUGUGGAGGAACACCAGUGGCGAAAGCGACUCUCUGGUCUGUAACUGACGCUGAGGCGCGAAAGCGUGGGGAGCGAACAGGAUUAGAUACCCUGGUAGUCCACGCCGUAAACGAUGAGUGCUAAGUGUUAGAGGGUUUCCGCCCUUUAGUGCUGCAGCAAACGCAUUAAGCACUCCGCCUGGGGAGUACGGUCGCAAGACUGAAACUCA
rnacentral:rRNA from 1 species